rnacentral:tRNA from 2 species
UGGGGCGUCGGCAAGCGGUAAGCCACGGGACUUUGGCUCCCGCAUUCGGAGGUUCGAAUCCUCCCGCCCCAGCCA